CAGGCCCGGGCUGCCGGGCUCGGCCGCUCCUCGCGGCGUCCAGAGGCCAACCGGGGCCUCAUCCGCGCCCGGUUCUGGUGGGAAUUGACUACAUUAAGCCUUAAAGUGAUUUUCAGUGUGACUCUUGUGUCCUUUAACGUAUGUGGCACAUUGCACUGGGUUUAAGAGCUGAAUGUAAUGUUAAAAGGCUAAUGGGGAACACUUUAAAUGUGAUAACUUGGAGUUCAUAUUGUUUGAAAAGAUAAGCAGUAACGCCAGAGUCAGAGCUGCACCGAGGGUGCUUUUGAAUUUACUUAUCAGCGCUUAAGCAGGCCCCCCUCCGGCUCCCUCCCCUACCUGGGCCGGAGGAGAGCCUCGGGAAGGGGGCGGCCCCGCGGAGGGCACGCUUUCAUCCGCCGGCGUCGCCCAGGGCCGAGCUGCCCGGCGCAGAGCCUCCGCGAGGGAGCCGGGCCCUGCCGCUGCCGCCCGCCGCCCAGCCCGGGGGAGCCUGGGGAAGAGGUCGCGGCCUCGGAGAAGGGCGAGGGAGAGUAACCGUUGGACUUCCCCGUUACGUGGGGAGAGACGGGCAUUGAUGCCUUCCUUUAAAGGGGGGUGAAACCUCGAGCGCGCCUCUCGGCCCGCUGCUCCAAAGUCCGAUUAAACCAAUGGGCCGAACCCUCAGACAGGCUCUGCCGCUGACAGACACCAGGGACGCUGGUUUUCCUGCGGGGCCCCCACCCCCCGUUCCCUUAGCAAAGGCCGGGAGGGCGGCAACCGGAGGAGACCCGCAUCCCUAGUGGCCUAAGGGUCCGGGCUGAAACUCGGUGGCCGCCCAGGGCAGAGCUCGUUCUGCAGCUGGGGACGCUGGGGCACGGGCGGUCCUGCCGCUCCCCGCCCGUCCCGGGUCACCCGCCGAGCCGUCCGGCGGCGGCGAGAUCCGCGCUGCCCCAAGCGCUGACCCCGAGUGGCCCCCAGGACCUCUGGCCGCCGGCCCGACUGUUUGUGCCGUGCCUCUGGCCCUGGUCCCGCUGGACCUGUUACCCGCAGGAGGUUUCCUGCCCCCGCCGCCACCGCGGCCCUUGGCAAAGCUUGUUUUACAGACAGGGAAACGAAGGCCCACCAACUUAAUUUCCUUGUCCAGGAUCACCCAGGGGCCAGAACGCAGGAGGAUGACACUUCCUGACUUGCAGGCCCCGUGCCACCCCGCUGCCAGUUAUAGCCGUAGAACCGAUGGAUAUGGACGCAGAACUCUCGGGUUUGAAUUCAGCUGCUUCUGCUUGCUAACUGCAUGACCUCAACACCUCUGAGCUGACCCCUUCUGAUGUUGCCUCGGCCUCCCUAGGGCAAGACGAGUCAGAUCAUACCUUGGAGAGAAGAGGUUCAAUCUUACUGGCAUCUGCCUUUACUGGGAAGUUGAUUUCUUUAUUUGGCUCAUCACAAGUUGAAUUCAGACUGAAAAAGAUGGUCUCCUUUGAGCAAGUGUAUAUGACAACUUCAUCUAGAUAUUUAAGAUCUCGGGUUGGACAAGGACACUUAAAAAAGAAAUAUAUAUAUAUAUAUAUGG